CGGGGUGGUGACGCGCACGCCGGUGAGGCCCUCGGCCUUGAGGGCCUGCGCGAGGCGGCGCAUGGCGGGGAGGAGGGAGAGGAUGAGGUUGGUGUCGGUGGAGAGGAGGAUCUCGUUGCCGGCGAGGAGGAGGGUGACGUUGGUGGCGGGGACGUAGGGGGAGAGGUUGGCGCGGAUCCAGGAGCGCGCGGCGUCGAGGCCGGUGGCCUUGUCGGCGAGGGCGGGGAGGGCGGAGUUGGGGAGGGAGACGGCGAGGGAGAUGGGCGUGCCGGCGAAGGCGGAGAUGAAGGUGGGGUUGGCGUCGAAGAGCUUGACGCGGUCGAUGGUGGUCUUGGUGGCGAGG
rnacentral:lncRNA from 1 species